UCUUAUGCGUGAGCAGAGAAAGUAGUUUCUUGAGAAGGAACCUAUUCACGGUGAAGAUGCUGUGAA
rnacentral:pre_miRNA from 1 species